GUCGGUGUGGCUCAGUUGGUUAGAGCGUUGGUCUCAUAUAGCGAUUAAUUCGUCAAGUAUGACUCGGUUAAACACCUGGGUAAUCCAAAGGUCGAGAGUUCGAGCCUCUCCACCGACA
rfam:Fusarium poae strain 2516 chromosome FPOA_3 Chr3, whole genome shotgun sequence.